AGUGAAAUUAUCUCUUCACCUUUUGUCAUCCAACCAAAUUGCGUCACUACUAAAGCCCACUGACAGUUCUGACAAGGCAGAUGAGGAAACCUCAGGUAGCAGUUGGUUGAUAAGGACAGGACAGACAAGAAACAUAGGACAAGACUACUCUUCUGCAGCAGUGACUGUUGUCCCCAGGAGAAUACAGGAACAUCUGGGACCUCAGGUGAAGUUGUUACUGGCUUGAAGAAGCAAGCUGCUUGGGUGCCCCUGUGUGACUGAUCAGCACUACAGCAGUGCUCAAGAGAAAUUCUUGUCUGUCUUCCACAGUUGGAAAAGACAACUUAGGCAGAGCUGCUGAGUGCUGUAGCCCAAUUCCCCUUCUGCUAGUGUCUGCCCGUAUCAACCCAGAGCUUACAGCACUCACCAUGAACUUAAAGCAGCAUUUUCCCAUUGCUUCCAGUUCUUGCACAUUUACUUCAUGUCAGCUGUGCGACUGUCAGAUGAGCAAAAGGAGUCACCCAGCCCUCUCCUUCUCUGCCAUGAGAGGCUAUGGUGUACGGAACAGUUUCCACAUGGAAAAACUCUGUCUCUAUGGUGCAGUUCAUAUAGUGGUGGUUUUAUACAACAUGGGCGGAAAGUGAAGUAUACUUGGAUGUCAGAAUAGACAGCAUACAUCCCAGGCAAUCUCUUAAAAUGUUGUUAGUGACAAUAUGUGAUAGCAAUAGGGGAGUGUGAAGCAAAAAGCCAUAAGGAAAUCUCACAUAAAUUGCCUUAAGGCAUCUUGUUUGAACAGACCACAGAAAACAUGUUUUCUGUGCUUCCUCCUUGUGGCUUAUCACUGUAUCAGCAAUAGCUCUGUCUGUACUUUAACUACAUAAGGCAUAGUUGGUCCAGGAAAGAAACUCCUCCAUUGUACUUGCAGGACUGCAACGGCUUACCUGGUGUCUUGCACUGGACAGUCUUCACGUCAGGAGACCACUUGAGACUGGGCUCACACAAAAUGGAGUGUGCCCCUUCUAAGUGCAUGCUGUGUGGGCAGGACAGAGUUAUUCUCUCACCAAUCUCAUACACAGCUUUCCAUGGCUCUCCUUGCAAACCCCCCUCCAGGUCGGGCAGGAGACAAGCGGUUUCUAAGGAUUGAAGCAUUCGAGAUAGCCACAGUGAAUCAGUGGAUUGCAUAAAGCAACCACAUAUUUUAUUGUCUCCUAAAUUCCUUAACAAAUUGAAUGGUGAGAUUGCCUGAUUUUCCUGUAGAAACAUAUCAAUCAUGUUAGUGCAGGAUAUUAACUCAUCACACCUGCCAAAUAUGCAAUACUAAGGACAUAGUGGCAGCAUCUUCUGCUGCUGCCUGCAGGUGCAGUCUAGCUUUAUGAGGGCUUCUCUGUCCUUAGGACCCAUGGUUCUGUUGAGAGUUCAUAAUAGGGAGUAACGUCCUGUAGAGAGAGGUCAUACAUACAGGAUGCUGGGGAGGCCAUGUAUUGAUACACAGAGAUAACCUUUAAACAGUGCGGACUAGCAUAUAUGGACAGUCGGUCCUGCUUGGAAGGAGAAAAGGAUGCUGUUGAAACACAGUGCUGAAAAUUCUCAUGGUUCUUGCAUAUAGCUAUAGGACUAGCAUAUAGCAACAAAGUGUUUCCACAGGAAGGAAUUCCUGGACUGGAAUUUAGUCUCUGUCACUUCCAGCCUUUCUUAAAACCAGACUUUAUGGGUACGUUUCUCAUUCAGUAUUUCAAUAUCUAGAUUCAAAAUAAAAGAUUGUGACUAGGAAACUGGGAAAUGAGGGUGCACGUUUUCCCCCUGCUGUCACUGGAAAGCAGGUGUUCUGAGAUGUUUCACUGGAAUUUGGAAAUGGAAUUGUAUUUCAAAACAAGAAUAAUUUAGACAUACCUUGGCAAUAUCUGUCUCCAACUUGCCAUUUUAAAUUAUCACCACACUUAGCCAUAGGAUCACCAACAAGAGAAUAUCCAUGUCUGCAAGCAUAAACAAUGCUUUUCCCAACAGGGUAUGAGUUUUCAGCAUUCUGAAAGAAAAUAAACAGGUGAAAUUUUAGAUAUACAGUAUUAGAACUAGCAGCAGCACUGAACUCUCUUUGAUUUUGGGAUGCAGUGGCUGAGGACAGUGAGAAGUAUUAAUGCUUCUCUACAAUGCACUGAUGAGAGCAUCUGAAAUAUUGGGGGCAAUCCUGGUUAUCAGUAGUCAGUAAAAGUGAUCAAAAGGGAUAUGGAACAGUACUUUUCUGAUGAUGCAUAAACUGACUGCAAAUAUGGCUAUUAUCGAGCAUUAGCAGGGCAAGAUAAGAUCUUGGACAACCUUGGGCUGGAGGCAGAUCAGUAGGGAGAUAAUGGCUUUGCUAAUUCUUAGGAUGGCAUGUUACUAGCUUUCAAAAGUUUAAUAUGAUGGACUGGAAGACACAGGUUUUCUCUCAUUUUAUAUCCCACUGUCUUCCAAGGAGACAUCUUAUGAAAAAUUGAGACUACUCUAUGAGUUUCACCUUUAGUUUGUGAAACAAAACUAUCAAUGUAGGAGACAACUAUUGAUUA